UUCUAUGGGGCGCAGCAGGCGAGAAAACUUUGCAAUGUGCGCAAGCACGACAAGGUUAAUCCGAGUGAUUCCUGCUAAAGGAAUCUUUUGUUAGUUGUAAAACCACUUAUGAAUAAGGGGUGGGCAAGUUCUGGUGUCAGCCGCCGCGGUAAAACCAGCACCUCAAGUGGUCAGGAGGAUUAUUGGGCCUAAAGCAUCCGUAGCCUGCUUUGUAAGUUUUCGGUUAAAUCCAUCAGCUCAACUGAUGGGCCGCCGAAAAAACUGCAAAGCUAGGGAGUGGGAGAGGUAGACGGUACUCGAUAGGAAGGGGUAAAAUCCUUUGAUCUAUUGAUGACCCCCUGUGGCGAAGGCGGUCUACCAGAACACGUUCGACGGUGAGGGAUGAAAGCUGGGGGAGCAAACCGGAUUAGAUACCCGGGUAGUCCCAGCUGUAAACGAUGCAGACUCGGUGAUGCCCUGGCUUGUGGCCAGUGCAGUGCCGCAGGGAAGCCGUUAAGUUUGCCGCCUGGGAAGUACGUACGCAAGUAUGAAACUUAAAGGAAUUGGCGGGGGAGCACCACCAGGGGUGAAGCCUGCGGUUCAAUUGGAGUCAACGCCGGGAAUCACUAGUGCGGCCGCCUGCAGGUCGACCAUAUGGGAGAGCUCCCAACGCGUUGGAAGGAUAGCUUUC
rnacentral:rRNA from 1 species